AAAGCUGAGUGCUGAAGAAUUGAUGCUUUUGAACUGUGGUGUUGGAGAAGACUCUUGAGAGUCCCUUGGACUGCAAGGAGAUCCAACCAGUCCAUCUGAAGGAGAUCAGCCCUGGGAUUUCUUUGGAGGGAAUGAUGCUAAAGCUGAAACUCCAAUACUUUGGCCUCCUCAUGUGAAGAGUUGACUGACUGGAAAAGACUCUGUUGCUGGGAGGGAUUGGGGGCAGGAGGAGAAGGGGACGACCGAGGAUGAGAUGGCUGGAUGGCAUCACUGACUCAAUGGACUUGAAUCUGAGUGAACUCCAGGAGUUGGUGAUGGACAGGGAGGCCUGGCGUGCUGCAAUUCAUGGGGCCACAAAGAGUCGGACAUGACUGAGUGACUGAAUUGAACUGAACUGAAGCCUCAUUUCCUUACUUGUUAAUGGAGAUAAUAAUAAUAUCUAACUUAUGUAGUUGUGGUUUUAAAUAAAAUUAAAUAAUGCACCAAAAAUAUUUAGUGAAGAGUAAAUGUUUAAUAAAUACCAGCUAUAAUCCACUCCAAACCAAUAGUCACAAACUUGGCAUCAAAUUUCUGCUCUAGCCUCUAUCCUUAGUUCUAAAAAUUGGGAAACUGCUUAUUCCCUAAAUCUCGGUUUGAUAUUUUUCUGGAUCACUCUUUUUGUCCUGAGUUUUGUGUGUGUUUAUUGUUAAUGUUUCUAUUUCCUGGUAACUAUACACACACCGGCUUCCCUUUCCAGGGCUGUGACCUGGACUUGUGUUCAUCAUUCUUCCUCCAAGACCUUGGAAUCCUACUCUGGAUCACAAUUGUGAAGAUGCAGCUGAUAGCUGGUGCUCAACCACCCUGAUGGAGAGUGGACAGGGCUCAGCUGUAGCCCACAGGCUGUGCUUUGUGCUUCCGGUGUGUAUGUCGGAAGUGCAGUCCCGACUGCAGAGCUGGCAGAGGACGGUCAGGAUACGCCGAGCACCGGGACAGAUCAGAAGAUCGGGUACAGCAGCUGCUGCCAUGAAGUUUUUCGCGGAGGGAGUCAGAUCUCCAGGAGUCUCAGUUCUGCUGGGGCCAUCAGGGGAGUCUCAGGAGGAGAAACACCUGGGUGCCCCUGGUCUCAGACUUGACCGUGAGGAGUUUGGUUCACAUCACCUAUCACACAGACCCCAAUCUUGAUGGACACCUCACCUGUCCCCAACGACUGAAAGGAUUCAAUUCAGUCUCUCAGUCCUGUCUGAUUCUUUGUAAUCCCGUGGACUGCAGCAGGCCAGGCCUCCCUGUCCAUCAUCAACUCAUGGAGCUUGCUCAAACUCAUGUCCAUUGAGUCGGUGGUGUCAUCCAACCAUCUCAUCCUCUGUCGUCCCUUUCUCCUCCCGCCUUCAUUCUUUCCCAGCAUCAGGGUCUUUUCCAAUGAGUCAGGUCUCUGCAUCAGGUGGCCAAAGUAUUGAGUCACAGUAAACCCAGUGAAAUGGCACCUGACCCAGGGGCCUGGUCAGGAGUGACUUUGUGAUUAAGAAUGGCCUUGAUUAUGUAAACUUAUCAUGUAACAUAUAUCCGAAACAUGAAAGAUACUCAAUAAAUGCUUAUUAAAUGAAGGUGAGAAAAAAUUGAUUUUUGUAAGCUAAUCUGCAGUCUCAUUGUCUGGAAGGGCAUUUCCAAUGACCUUAUUAUCUAUCAAGCAAUGCUUUCUGAUAGAAUUUUAGAUUUAGUUUUAUAACUGAAUUGUUGAUUUUCUGUGCUAUUUCUACUAUUUUUGCUAUUACAUAUAGUUAGUAGCUAGUCUCUGAAGAUGACCUUUAACAAUUUCUUCCCUCCUUUUAAGUACAUAUCUCUGCUUACAUCAAAAAGUAGAACCUAACCUUCCCACCUCCCCUAAUACACUUUCGACCUUUGCUUUGGGAUGGCCUUGUGACUGGUUUUAACCAAAGAAUGUGAAGAAAUCAUGUUCUGGGAUUUCUGAGUGAAGGCUUGAAGAGAAUUAGU
rnacentral:lncRNA from 1 species